ACGAACGCUGGCGGCAUGCCUCACACAUGCAAGUCGAACGAGACCUUCGGGUCUAGUAGCGCACGGGUGCGUAACGCGUGGGAACCUGCCCUUAGGUUCGGAAUAACUCCCCGAAAGGGGUGCUAAUACCGGAUAAUGUCUUCGGACCAAAGAUUUAUCGCCUUUGGAUGGGCCCGCGUUGGAUUAGCUAGUUGGUAGGGUAAAAGCCUACCAAGGCGACGAUCCAUAGCUGGUCUGAGAGGAUGAUCAGCCACACUGGGACUGAGACACGGCCCAGACUCCUACGGGAGGCAGCAGUGGGGAAUAUUGGACAAUGGGCGAAAGCCUGAUCCAGCAAUGCCGCGUGAGCGAUGAAGGCCUUAGGGUUGUAAAGCUCUUUUACCCGGGAUGAUAAUGACAGUACCGGGAGAAUAAGCUCCGGCUAACUCCGUG
rnacentral:rRNA from 1 species